GCGCCGAACCUUAAACGCCUUGAAUUAAGAAGCUCCAGUCAUGGCCAGGAACGCGGUAUCAAGGCAGAGGUCAUGAUGGUACAAGACGGUGGACUUACAACUUACAAACCAAGGCUUCUUUUGAGCACUCCUGAGGAGCCAGAAGACAACCUCCUUGAAGGCUAUGGGUCCACUUACUGGUCCGAGAAGCAGAGAAAACUCUCCCUUGAUGUCUACACUUUAGGCAGCCUUAAACGCAUCAUCGAUGUUGCCGCUAAAGCAACGGUAGACAUUCGGUCCCCGACU